rnacentral:lncRNA from 1 species
AAAUACUUUUAAAAAAAUAAAAUGAACGCGUUCAAAUGAUCUACGCAAAAUAAAGUUAUGGAAAACAGAAAGAUAAAGAUCAAAUUUCGCAAUAAAAAUUGCUCGUUUGAAAAGGAUCUGACUGAUCAAAAUGUGACCACAAAUGGAAUCAAUAAAAUUAAACCAGCACGCUGGAUUAAACUACGCAAAUUGUAGGUCAAUAAAAUUGACAACUGCAAGCCCAAUCUCAAAAACUUUCACCCGCUAAUUUUACG